rnacentral:rRNA from 1 species
CACGCCGUAAACGAUGAUAACUAGCUGUCUGGGCUCACAGAGUUCAGGUGGCGCAGCUAACGCAUUAAGUUAUCCGCCUGGGGAGUACGGUCGCAAGAUUAAAACUCAAAGGAAUUGACGGGGGCCUGCACAAGCGGUGGAGCAUGUGGUUUAAUUCGAAGCAACGCGCAGAACCUUACCAACGUUUGACAUCCUUAUCGCGGUUAGAGGAGACUCUUUCCUUCAGUUCGGCUGGAUAAGUGACAGGUGC